UGCGUAGGCGGAAAAUUAAGUCAGUGGUGAAAUCCCAGAGCUCAACUCUGGAACUGCCAUUGAUACUGAUAUUCUUGAAUGUAGUUGAGGUAGGCGGAAUGUGUAAUGUAGCGGUGAAAUGCUUAGAUAUUACACAGAACACCGAUUGCGAAGGCAGCUUACUAAACUAUGAUUGACGCUGAUGUACGAAAGCGUGGGGAGCGAACAGGAUUAGAUACCCUGGUAGUCC
rnacentral:rRNA from 1 species